rnacentral:rRNA from 1 species
UACAGAGGUCUCAAGCGUUGUUCGGAUUCAUUGGGCGUAAAGGGCGCGUAGGCGGCGAGGUAAGUCGGGUGUGAAAUCUCAGAGCUCAACUCUGAAACUGCACUCGAUACUGCUUUGCUAGAGGACUGGAGAGGAGAUUGGAAUUCACGGUGUAGCAGUGAAAUGCGUAGAGAUCGUGAGGAAUACCAGUGGCGAAGGCGGAUCUCUGGACAGUUCCUGACGCUGAGGCGCGAAGGCCAGGGGAGCAAACGGG